ensembl:lncRNA adhesion G protein-coupled receptor B1-like
AUGGCGGGUGUUGUCUACGUGCCGGGUGUCGGCCUGGCCGUGGCGCUGCUGGUCUGCCUGAGCGUGGGGACCCCGUCUGGCCCGGCCUCGGACACCUGCGCCACGCUGGAGCAGAGCCGCUUCUUUGGCGUCUUCUCCUCGUCCGCGGCGCUGCCCUCGACGCCGUGCUCCUGGACCCUGCAGAACCCGGACCCUCGCCGCUACACCGUGUACAUGAAGAUCACCAAGCCCGCCCAAGUGUGCGUGCCGCGCCAAGUGAGGGCCUUCCAGUUCGACUCCUUCAUCGAGACCUCCCGCACCUACCUGGGCAUGGAGAGCUUCGACGAGGUGGUGCGCCUGUGCGACGCCGCCACCUCGGUGGCCUACCUGGAGUCCAGCAAGCAGUUCCUGCAGCUGCGCAAGGCGGCGCCUCAGCCUGGCGCGGAGUUGGCGGCGGAGGUCUCCGGCGAGGGCAGCGAGUUCAAGGCCGAGUUCCUGGUGGUGGGAAAGAGGAACCCCAGCAUGCCCGCCUGCCAGAUGCUGUGCCAGUGGCUGGAGAGCUGCCUGGCGGGCAGCACCCACAGCAACCCCUGCGGUAUAAUGGCGACCCCCUGCCAGUUUGGAAUGGGUUGUUUCGGUUCUCUAUUGCCACCUACUGGACACCUUUGGCAGCGCACGGCACGUCUAACUGCUCGUGAUCUGGAACCCUCAGGACAAACUUUAAUUAAACACGGUGUUCCCUGUGUGUGUGCAGUGGAUACCGUGCAGGAUGAGUGGUCACCAUGGAGCGCGUGUUCCAUCACCUGCGGCGAGGGAUGGCAGACCCGCACCCGUUUCUGCACCAGCUCCACCUACAGCACGCAGUGCACUGGCCCCCUGAGGGAGAACCGCCCCUGCAACAACACAGCCGUCUGCCCAGUGAACGGUGCCUGGGAUGAGUGGGCUCCCUGGAGUCUGUGCUCCUCCACCUGUGGCAGGGGUUACCGCGACCGCGUCCGCACAUGCCGUCAGCCUCAGCAUGGAGGAGAACCCUGCCGUGGCCCCACCAAACAGACCAAGUUCUGCAACAUCGCCGUGUGUCCAGUUGACGGUUACUGGAAUGAAUGGUCAGCUUGGAGCUCCUGUUCCUCCACCUGCUCCAAUGGGACCAUGCAGCGCACCCGCGAGUGCAACGGACCAUCCUAUGGAGGCUCAGAAUGCCGUGGUGAUUGGCUUGAGGCAAGCAAGUGUUUCCUGAAGGAAUGCCCAGUCAAUGGAAGGUGGCUCUCAUGGAGUGCAUGGAGUGGCUGCUCUAAGACUUGUGGAGGAGGGAUCCAAGAAAGACAAAGAGCUUGUGAUGGCCCCUUUUUUGGCGGAGAACCCUGCCCUGGCUCCAAAAGAGAAUCCAAGCAGUGUAAUGAAAAGAGAUGUCCAGAACCCCACGAGAUCUGCCCUGAAGAGAACUAUGGCAGUGUGGUGUGGAGGAAGACGCCUGCUGGAGAUACGGCAGCUGUGCCCUGCCCUGCUGAUGCCUCAGGACUAGUUCUCCGGCGAUGCACACUGGAUGCAGUGGGACUUGCCUUUUGGGAGAACCCGACCCACAUAAAAUGUGUCUCCAAGGAGUAUGAAGAAAUCCAGAUGCUGACACAGGAGCGCCACUCCAAGGCUCAGAGAGGUCUCAUGGUGGACGGGGUGACAGAGCUGAUUACAAGGUUAAAAACCACCUCAGACAACACAACGAGAUACAGCGGAGACCUGCUGGCCAUCAUGGAGAUCCUGAAGAAUACAACAGAAAUUUUCAGAAAAGCCGGCUACAGCCUGAGCAACAUAGAUGUCGAGAAUUUUGCCCAGACCAUCAGCAACUUGCUGAAGGACGAGCACCGGGACAAAUGGGAUGAGGCCCAGCUGGUGAGAUAUUCCAUUCUGGUGGAGGAGUUUGUGGACAUCAUCGGGGUCCAGAUGAAAGACUUCCAGGACAUUUACGAGGUCACUGAAAACCUAGAACUCAGCAUUCAGAAGAGGCCCAAGGCCAUGACCUCUGACAUCAGCUUCCCCAUGAGGGGGUGGAGGGGCAUGAUGGAGUGGGUUAGGAACUCAGAGGAGAAGAUCACCGUCUCGCAAACCGAGGACAUCACUGCCUACGUGACUGGUAUAGUUCUGUACCGAAACCUGGGCAACAUGCUGUCCAUGCAGAGUAACACCACGGUGCUGAACUCCAAGGUGGUGAGCGUGAUUGUGAAACCCACUCCGGGGCUGCUAACUUCUCCAGUAGAGAUCGAGUUCCCUCACCUCCACAACGGCACUGUCAAUGAGACCUGCAUUUCCUGGGACGAAAGUGAAAGCUCGUCUCUGCUCGGCUCCUGGACGCGGAGCUGCAGAGCGGUGCCCGUCGGCUCCUCCAGAACCAGAUGCGUCUGUGACGGUCUGUCCACCUUCGCCAUCUUAGCGCGGAUCAGCACGGAGCCGGUGAGUACUCCUAGUAACGUUCUGUUGUCUUGUUCCAGGUACAUCCGCUCUGAGCGUUCAGUCAUUCUCAUCAACUUCUGCUUGUCCAUCAUCUGCUCCAAUGCCCUGAUUCUGAUAGGCCAGACACAAGCGCGCAACAAGGUGAUGUGUACGCUGGUGGCAGCUUUCCUCCACUUCUUCUUCCUGUCCUCCUUCUGCUGGGUGCUGACAGAGGCGUGGCAGUCGUACAUGGCCGUGACGGGCCGCCUGCGCAACCGCAUCAUCCGCAAGCGCUUCCUGUGUCUGGGCUGGGGCCUCCCCGCGCUGGUGGUGGCUAUCUCCGUCGGAUUCACCAAAGCCAAAGGCUACGGCACAGUGAACUACUGCUGGCUGUCUCUGGAGGGGGGUCUGCUCUACUCAUUCGUAGGACCAGCUGCCGCCGUGGUUCUGGUGAACAUGGUGAUUGGCAUUCUGGUCUUCAACCGACUGGUGUCAAAGGACGGCAUCACAGACGUGAAGCUGAAGGAGAGAGCGGGGUACGUCCUAUCGAUCCUGCUCGGCCCCUCCCUUCUUGCGCAGCCAUUUUUAUCCCUUCAGGCGUCGCUGUGGAGCUCCUGCGUGGUUCUGCCUCUGCUGGCCCUCACCUGGAUGUCUGCGGUGCUAGCUAUCACAGACCGCCGCUCUGCGCUCUUCCAGAUCCUCUUUGCCGUUUUCGACUCCCUCGAAGGGUUCAUCAUCGUGAUGGUGCACUGCAUCCUGCGGAGGGAGGUACAGGAAGCUGUCAAAUGCCGGGUUGUUGACCGCAAGGAUGAUGGAAAUGGAGAUUCUGGCAGCUCGCUUCAGAACGGCCACACCCAGCUCAUGGUGGGGGUCGAGCGUUUUACUCUGAAAGAUGCCUCCGCCACAGAUGCCCCUGCCAAUGGGCUCCAACUUCCACACGUUGCCAGCAACACCUCUGCCAAGACCCACAUGCAGCCCGUGCCCGAGUACGCCAGCCACACCCUCACGCUGAAGCGCGAUAAGGGCCGCGGCUCAGACCCAUCCUGCGGGAAGCCGGUCUACGUGUGCGACAAUGAGAUCUUCAAGCAGCUGGACGCGGAGCUAGCCCGCGGGCAGGCGGAGGGCACCUCACCGGACGGCAGUGGCGGCUACGUCCUGCUGCCCAACACCACGUCCACGCUGCGUUCCAAGCCCAAGGACGACGGCAGUGCCACCUCCGGCAAGUACAACAUCAGCGUGGAGCAGCUGCCACAGACGCGCAUGGUCCACGUGAGCGCGGGAUACGCCGAGCCCCAGGCUGCGGUUUACGGGAUGAAGAUGCUUCCGGCUGACCGGGUUAGCGUGUCCUACUCGGAGCGCGACUCCCCUGUCCAGAACAUCCACAACCUCUCCAGCGAGUCCCACAUCACUAGCAGCCUGGGAGACACCUUCGACUCCAUGAACUCUAUGAUGUCCAAGAGUGAAACCAUCUCCACGCUGUCUAUGAGCUCUCUGGAGAGGCAGAAAUCUCGCUACGCAGAGCUUGAUUUUGAGAAGAUCAUGCACACAAGGAAGCGUCACCAGAACAUGUUUCAGGACCUCAACAGAAAAUUACAUCACGCCGAGAAAGACAGAGAGUCGCCUGCGUCCGACAGCAAGCAGGCGCCCAGUGAGAGGCCUUGGGAGGCAGUCCCACGCUCCCAGCAGCAGUCUCCACCCUCCUGGGUGCGGAAGGACCUUGAGCCCCUGCAGCCUUCUCCUCUUGAGCUCCAAGCGGUGGAAUGGGAGAAAGCCGGAACCACCAUCCCGCUGGUUGGCCAGGACAUCAUCGAUCUGCAGACAGAGGUGUGA